rnacentral:rRNA from 1 species
GACGAACGCUGGCGGCGUGCCUAAUACAUGCAAGUAGGACGCACAGUUUAUACCGUAGCUUGCUACACCAUAGACUGUGAGUUGCGAACGGGUGAGCAACGCGUAGGUAACCUGCCUAUUAGAGGGGGAUAACUAUUGGAAACGAUAGCUAAUACCGCAUAACAGUAUGUAACACAUGUUAGAUGCUUGAAAGAUGCAAUUGCAUCGCUAGUAGAUGGACCUGCGUUGUAUUAGCUAGUAGGUAGGGUAAAGGCCUACCUAGGCAACGAUACAUAGCCGACCUGAGAGGGUGAUCGGCCACACUGGGACUGAGACACGGCCCAGACUCCUACGGGAGGCAGCAGUAGGGAAUCUUCGGCAAUGGGGGGAACCCUGACCGAGCAACGCCGCGUGAGUGAAGAAGGUUUUCGGAUCGUAAAGCUCUGUUGUUAAGGAAGAACGAGUGUGAGAAUGGAAAGUUCAUGCUGGACGUACUAACCA